ensembl:snoRNA SNORA79 small nucleolar RNA, H/ACA box 79
UGAUGAUUGUUCCUCCUGCUGCUCUGAGCUCAGGCAGCUCAGGAUUUUACAUCAUCAGAGAGAAUCAGAGUCUACUUCACCCGGUGUGUGCCGACCCAGCGGUCACAUGUGGCCACACUGGACAUUGCGUGACUCUACAGCU